rnacentral:rRNA from 1 species
UACGGAGGGUGCAAGCGUUAUCCGGAUUCACUGGGUUUAAAGGGUGCGUAGGUGGGUUGGUAAGUCAGUGGUGAAAUCCCCAGGCUCAACCUGGGAACUGCAUUUGAAACUCCCUUUCUUGAGUACCGGAGAGGAAAGUGGAAUUCCUGGUGUAGAGGUGAAAUUCGUAGAUAUCAGGAGGAACACCAGUGGCGAAGGCGGCUUUCUGGACGGUAACUGACGCUGAGACGCGAAAGCGUGGGGAGCAAACAGG